rnacentral:sRNA from 1 species
UUUUAGCCCCGAUAGCAGUGGAAAUCCUUUUAUUUUUUCUUUAAAAAAUAAAAGAUUGCAACGUAUAGCGGGAUUAGCU